AGGAUUAGAUACCCUAGUACACUUAAAUUUAAUUGGUAGAUACUAGAAUAUUAAAAGUUAUAUUCUUUAAAUUUAAAAGAUUUGGCGGUGUUUUAGUCUGGUUAGAGGAACCUGUAUUAUAAACGAUGUUACACGCAUUAUUUUACUUAUUUUAGUAAACAGUUUGUAUACCGUCAUUAUUAGAUAAUUUGAGAGAAAAUAUUAUUGAAAUUAUAUUAUUGAAUAUAUUAGAUCAAGGUGCAGCUUAUAAAUAAGUAAAUAUGGGUUACAAUAAAAUUUAUUUAUACGGAUUUUAUAUUUAAAUAUAUACAUGAAGGAGGAUUUAAUUGUAAGAAAGGGAGUAGUGAGAUUUUUUGAUAAAAGCUCUAAAUUAUGUACAUAUCGCCCGUCGCUUUCAUCAAUGUGAAAUAAGUCGUAACAUAGUAGAUGUACUGGAAAGUGCAU
rnacentral:rRNA from 1 species